rnacentral:rRNA from 1 species
CCUACGGGAGGCAGCAGUAGGGAAUCUUGGACAAUGGGGGCAACCCUGAUCCAGCCAUGCCGCGUGAGUGAUGAAGGCCCUAGGGUCGUAAAGCUCUUUCGCCUGUGAUGAUAAUGACAGUAGCAGGUAAAGAAACCCCGGCUAACUCCGUGCCAGCAGCCGCGGUAAUACGGAGGGGGUUAGCGUUGUUCGGAAUUACUGGGCGUAAAGCGCGCGUAGGCGGAUUGGAAAGUUAGAGGUGAAAUCCCGGGGCUCAACCCCGGAACUGCCUUUAAAACUCCCAGUCUAGAGUUCGAGAGAGGUGAGUGGAAUUCCAAGUGUAGAGGUGAAAUUCGUAGAUAUUUGGAGGAACACCAGUGGCGAAGGCGGCUCACUGGCUCGAUACUGACGCUGAGGUGCGAAAGUGUGGGGAGCAAACAGGAUUAGAUACCCUGGUAGUCCACACCGUAAACGAUGAAUGCCAGUCGUCGGGUAGUAUACUAUUCGGUGACACACCUAACGGAUUAAGCAUUCCGCCUGGGGAGUACGGUCGCAAGAUUAAAACUCAAAGGAAUUGACGG